GAUGAAGAACGUAGCGAAAUGCGAUAAGUAAUGUGAAUUGCAGAAUUCAGUGAAUCAUCGAAUCUUUGAACGCACAUUGCGCCCGCCAGUAUUCUGGCGGGCAUGCCUGUCCGAGCGUCAUUUCAACCCUCGAACCCCUCCGGGGGGUCGGCGUUGGGGAUCGGCUCCUCACCGGGCCGCCCCCGAAAUCCAGUGGCGGUCUCGCCGCAGCCUCUCCUGCGCAGUAGUUUGCACACUCGCACCGGGAGCGCGGCGCGGCCACAGCCGUAAAACACCCCAAACUCUGAAAUGUUGACCUCGGAUCAGGUAGGAAUACCCGCUGAACUUAAGCAUAUCAAUAAGCGGAGGA
rnacentral:misc_RNA from 1 species